CCUACGGGAGGCAGCAGUGAGGAAUAUUGGUCAAUGGACGAGAGUCUGAACCAGCCAAGUAGCGUGAAGGAUGACUGCCCUAUGGGUUGUAAACUUCUUUUAUAUGGGAAUAAAACGUUCCACGUGUGGGAUUUUGUAUGUACCAUAUGAAUAAGGAUCGGCUAACUCCGUGCCAGCAGCCGCGGUAAUACGGAGGAUCCGAGCGUUAUCCGGAUUUAUUGGGUUUAAAGGGAGCGUAGGUGGAUUGUUAAGUCAGUUGUGAAAGUUUGUGGCUCAACCGUAAAAUUGCAGUUGAAACUGGCAGUCUUGAGUACAGUAGAGGUGGGCGGAAUUCGUGGUGUAGCGGUGAAAUGCUUAGAUAUCACGAAGAACUCCGAUGGCGAAGGCAGUUCACUGGACUGCAACUGACACUGAGGCUCGAAAGUGUGGGUAUCAAACAGGAUUAGAUACCCGAGUAGUC
rnacentral:rRNA from 1 species